GGAGGUAUAGCAAAGUUGGUAAUGCACCUGAUUGCAAAUCAGAUAUUCGUCGGUUCAAGUCCGGCUACCUCCUCCA
rnacentral:tRNA from 3 species